GGUAGAGUGGAAAGGAUUUUAGAGAAAAAAAAAUUUUGGAGAGAUAGACCGCCGGUUUGGAGACGGGGGUUUGAAGCUAGGGUAAGCUUGAUCCGUCCAAACGAGGAAGAAAAGGAAAAGGGAUUUAGUUCCUAAAAGGAUGAUUUGAAGGGGGCAAAACCGGUAGGAAGAGAGAUUUUAAGAAAAAUUUUGCGGUUGAGAGAGUGGAGAGGGAGGGGAUUUUUGUUCGGUGGG
rnacentral:lncRNA from 1 species